rnacentral:sRNA from 1 species
ACUUUGCGUGAGGGAUUGCAGUGUAAAUCCCGCAUUCGCCAGAGGCGGAGCGGAAUUGCAACGGAAAGCCCGACCCUUU